rnacentral:tRNA from 1 species
GCCCAGAUGACGGAACAGGCAUACGUGCAUGUCUGAGAGGCAUGAUUUUGCAGGUUCGAAUCCUGCUCUGGGCACCA